rnacentral:lncRNA from 1 species
GGCUACACUUGGAGAGGCCGAAGACGAGGAAGAGGAUGUUGCGUAUCAAGAGCCCAACGCAAUAGGUAUUUCUAACUCCUCUACCGUUCGCCUUAAUAAUUUUAAAGCGGGUCGUUCGGUGCGAAUUCGUGAUGAAGAGACAAGACUUAUUGAUGUUGAUCCAAAUCAAGAAACAGACGAAGACUCUGGCGAUGAGGAAAGACAUAUAUUACCAGAAAUUAAUUCUGAUACCGAAAAAGACUCAUCGGAUGAUUCGAAUUGCGAGCCUUAAUUUUGAUUUAGAGGACAUAAUCCAUUAAUUUGUAUAACUAAAGACCUUUUCCUUUAUAGUUUACAUAUGUUGAAUUCAUAUUUCAAUUAUUUUAUAUGAAUUUUGGUGAUAUAUGAUGAACAGGAAGUUAGUAUGGUUUACUAAUAUCGUCUGUUUUUUUAAUGUAUUUUUUUCUUAAGCCGACGAAAUACACCAUAAUUCGUCGGCUAAAACCAUCUUAGCCGAUGAAUUAUAGUGUACUUCGUCGGCUUUAGUUAUUUUUUAAUUUUUUAAUUACAUACUAUAGCCGACGAAUACGUUAGGGUAUUCGUCGGCUAAACCCUAAAAUUUUUCUAUUACAUACUAUAGCCCUAUCUUCGGUGGUUAUUUUCCGUAAAAUUUUUAGACUACUUCUUACGUCUCAUCGGUUUGAAACUAUUUUUAGUUGGAGGUCCGGCCAAAAUAUGUAAUUUAGACGGUCGAACGACCUUUUCCGUGCGUUUAGGGGUUUGACUUACAAGAUUGACCGCCCGGAUAGAGCCCUUAUUCUUGUCGGAUCCAAUUGAAUUUUUUCCCAUACAUGUAUUUUGUCAUGAUGGUCAGAUCUGACGGUCGGAUUUCUGUUUCUCAAGUUUGAUCAUCACAAUCACAACAUGCCUACUAAUGUUAUGUAAAUGUUCCGUUUCAAAAACAAACUAUACGUAAAACCUUCAAACGCCAAAAAGUCGUGAAAUAAGAUAUGACGAGAAUGUUGAAAUACAUCCACGGUUGAAAAAUCACACUAUUCCGGUAAAUAUUCGGUGCCGAUAGUUGCGGUCAAUGCAAUUUUUCAUUCUUUCCCCCUAUGAGUAGCCCUAUCUUCGGUGGUUAUUUUGCGUAAAAUUUUUAUACGACUUGUUGCGUGUCAUCGAUUUAAAACUAUUUUCAGUUGAAGGUCCGGCCAAAAUACGUAAUUUAG